rnacentral:rRNA from 1 species
AACGAACGCUGGCGGCAUGCCUAACACAUGCAAGUCGAACGAGCCCUUCGGGUCUAGUGGCGCACGGGUGCGUAACGCGUGGGAACCUGCCCUUAGGUUCGGAAUAACUCCCCGAAAGGGGUGCUAAUACCGGAUAAUGUCUUCGGACCAAAGAUUUAUCGCCUUUGGAUGGGCCCGCGUUGGAUUAGCUAGUUGGUAGGGUAAAAGCCUACCAAGGCGACGAUCCAUAGCUGGUCUGAGAGGAUGAUCAGCCACACUGAGACUGAGACACGGCCCAGAAUCCUACGGGAGGCAGCAGUGGGGAAUAUUGGACAAUGGGCGAAAGCCUGAUCCAGCAAGGCCGCGUGAGUGAUGAAGGCCUGAGGGUUGUAAAGCGCUUGUACCCGGGAUGAUAAUGACAGUACCGGGAGAAUAAGCUACGGCUAACUCCGUG